AGGUAACACCCUCCUCUCUCUGUGCGGUGGGCGCAUUGUACAGCACUCCCUCAUGUGCAUACCGGGCACCCAUCUCCUCCCCCUUCGCCACCGCCGCGCAUGUCCUCGGAGACUCCUCGCGCCAGCACCCACGAUGUCUUCUGCGCUGCGCUGCAGAGGCUCGGCGGCGCACAUAUUUUUUCUCAGAACUUAAUACAGAGGACAGCGGUGGCAUCGCUGUCGCCGCGUAGCCAAAAUGGCAAUGGGGUGAGUGCCGUCAUCGCAGAAUCCGCGGCGCCGAGUGACGCCGGUACGAACCAGCUGCCAGACCCUGGCAUCGACGCGGAUGCCAAGCCGGUCGACAAGUCAUGCUGCCGAGGCAAACAGCCAUGUGAGUGCACUGACACCGCACCCGUGAAGGCGAUGGCCACUCUUUAUGACCCACCGGCGCGAUGUGAGGGAGUCGUGGCGGCGCAGGAUGCGCAAAGACGCUUGCAUCAUCUGCGGUUUUUAGGUGGGCGUUUUUCCCUUGCCGAUGGCGCGAAUGCAUCAGAGUCGCAGCAGACGAGCGGGUAUGCGUCCACGGCGACCAACAACGCGCACGUCAACGACGGCUGCAGCAGCACCUGGGAGUUGAAGGCGAGCUACUUUCAAGCGAUGAAGGAAACGCUCACCGCCGUUAUGGGGCGUCGACUGCGCUCUCAGCUGCUCGGCGACGACGGCACAGCCGACACCGGCACAGUUCUGCGUGCCCCUGUGCCACGCGGCGCCACGGGAGCAUCGACCAUGACGACGUCGGCUCGACAAGCGGCGCUCCGUAGAAGGAUGGAGGCCUUCACGAGUGCCGUGGCACAUCAGGAGUCGAUCCUGGAUGACGUUGCGGCGGCAUGCAGGGCACACCUGCACACAGUCGGAGGUGCCACAGCGGUCCCAGCCCCCUGCUUUUUCUUUGCUGCUCUUCCCCAGAUCUCAAUGCGGCAAUGGGCCGGCUCGCACCUCUACAAACAGUGGCUCGUGCGCUGCGAGACUCCGCGUGCUUCACUGCCGUCAACGGCGACAAGACCAAAAAAGGUCGGCCUUCAUGGGGCACCGAUGCUGCCGUCGCCCUCCGCCCCGCGAGCUCCGGCAACGACGCUUGUGCUGCCGCUGGAUGUAGAGGCGGAGUUGCGCAAGUACUGGAAGCUGCAUGACGAGGCCGCAGCGCGCGCGCGACUGGAGGCGUUGCGUUGCAACGACGCCCAGGCGUUCGCUGAGCACGUCAGCUUGCUGAAGGUGUCUGCGCUUCUCGAAAUCAUGGAGAGGACGGAGGGCUUUAUGCACCGCAUCGGGCUACGGCUUCAGUCCCAUGCCACUCAGGCCGCCGCAAACCGUGGUGGUGAUGGCGCGUGCGCUGUGUCUACGACGCGCGCAGCACCUGCAGCCCUUGCUGAGCCGGGUAUCGCCGACCGCCCAGGGGGCGCAGCAGGAUGCCACGGCAGCGAGUACGAGCGCUUCCGUUCCUACGUGGCAUCCACCAAGAAUGAGUUCAAGCUCAUGCACCGCGUGGAUGUGUUUGUGGCGGCCCAGCCGGCCGGCCUGGACGCGACGCUGCUUCCUCACCAGAUGGAUGGCCUGCGCUUUCUGGCGUCCCUUGACGCCAACCACAUCAACGGCAUCCUGGCGGACGAAAUGGGCGUGGGCAAGACGAUUCAGACGCUCGCUUUUCUCCUCUACCUGAAAAACAGACGGGGCGAGACUGGCGAGGGCAGCGGCGGCAGAGUGGCGCCGCUGCGAGUGGGUUCGCGGCUCCCGCAUCUGGUCCUUGCCCCGCUCUCUGUCGUCCGAGAGUGGCGGGAGGCAUGCGAGCAGUUUGUGCCGAGUACUCUUCACGUUGCCAUGUACCAGGAGCUGGCCGACCCCGUCCACGAAGCUGCGGCUUACGACCUUGUCCUUCUUCCGGCCCAUGCUAUCCGCUACGUUGGCGCGGAGGCAGCGCGCAUUCGGUGGCACUAUAUCGUCGUGGACGAGGCUCACAAGGCGCUGGCGAACCUGAGCACCAUCACGGCGCAGCGCAUCUUGGGCCUCCCGUGCUUGCGCCGCCUGGUGCUGACUGGGACGCCGCUCAGCAGCGACCUGCAGGAGCUCUGGUCGCUGCUGCACUUUCUGAAUCCGGAGGUGUUUACCGACAAUGACGCGUUUGAGGAGGUCUUUCGACGGCCUUUUCGCGUGUACGAGGCGCAUGAGAUGGAGCUGACAGAGGAGGAGCGCGGUCUGCUAAUACUGCGACUGCAUCAGGUUCUGCGGCCGUUUCUGCUGCGCCGCACAAAGGCGGACGUCGAUUCGACUCUUCGGAUGACGCUCCAUCACAUGUGGUGCCCGCUGAGUGCGAUGCAGCAGCGCUUGCUGUGCAUGCUGCGCGAGCAGCGGCGAAUGCCCACGGUUCUCGGUAUGGCGGGAGGCUACAGCGGUAAAAGUAGCAGCAGUAGCGAGGCGGACAAUGAGGAGGAGACCGCAGGCGCCGCUGACGAGGCGGCGCACACGAGCACGUUUCCAGCGGCGGAGAUAGGGACUGGCGAGUCCUCUGGCUGCACCCAACACACUGCUUCUGCAGCAUUCGCGGCAGAAGCUCUGCACGGCGAGUUCUCUCCAGACCUCGACACUCUCCAGGCGCGCAAUGAGACGGCCACGACCCGUGAUCGGCUCGCCGAGCUCGUCUGGCGGCAUCUGCCCGCCCUGGCGAGCACUGAGUCCAGCGACAUCUUGCGCUGCGCAGUGCAGCAGGACAGAGCCCUCGGGCUCACCAGCGCCGGCGUCUCAGAAUCGUCCGCGCGGCUUCUGUGCAACCAUGCCUUUUUGCUGCCCUUCUUUUCACAGGUCCUUCAUCGGCAUGGCCUCGAUGAGGUAACGCAGGAGGGGUGCAGCGACGCGGACGCGGCCGCUGCACGAACCUCGGAAAGCAGCGUUGUCGGUGGCGAGGCCGCGGAAGGUUGUGGCGCUGCCGGUCUCACCCUUGCGUGCAGCGGUAAGUUCCUUGUCCUGCAUCUGCUACUCUCGCGCCUGUACGUGGCGCAGCGCAAGGUGGUGCUCUUCACGCACUGGCUCAAUUGUGUGGACCUGCUCGUCGACUAUCUGCACAGCCGCGGCUGGGCCGACCACGCGGAGGUGCUCACAGGCGGCAGCAGCGAGGCCGAGCGUCUGACGAGCGUGCGGCGCUUCCGCGAGGACCCGGCGUGUCUCUUCUUCCUUCUCUCCAUCAAGGCUGGCGGGUGCGGGAUCAACCUGCAAGCUGCGCACAUGGUGGUCCUAGUGGACCGUGACUACACGGCAACCAACGAGGAUCAAGCACUAGCACGCGUCUACCGCAUUGGCCAGCGGCACACCGUGCGGGCCGUAUACCUCGCCACCACCGACGCCAGCGAGCAGCGUGUCGCCCAGCGGGCAGCGGCGAAGAACAAACCGCGGCAGGCCAUCAUCAACGAUGGUGUCUAUCAAGUGACGACGGCGAGCGAAGCAGAGCGAGUGGGCGAGACGGGCGAGACUGUGACAGCGGCGACAUUCGCAGAUCCUCCUUCACAUGCUCACAAUGAACUGGAUACCUCCGAGCUGUGGCGGUCGAUCCCUGGCGCCACCACGCCACCAUCGCCCACUACUGCGACGCAGGAGGCGCGAAGGCCCGAGUGUGAUGGCACGGCCUACGGCGCUGCCGGGCCCGCCCCGUUUUCCCUGCCGCCACCGGAGGCGUUCUGGGCAGCUCUCUCUCGCCUUGUUGAAUCGAUGGAUGAGCUGGUUCUCACCGAGGAGGAUCAGGCGGCAGCAACGGUGCGCAGUGCCAAAGAGGAGGGGCGUAGCAUGGACUGUACUCCCGCUAACAGCGCCGCUGCGCGGCUCCUUGCAACUCGGCCGCCACAGAGCACUGCAGAGCUGCACCUGCGCCUGCAAGGGGGAAAGCCCGAGAUGUUCUCGGGCCCUCAGCGCGAGCGUGGCGUGGCCCCGUCGCUGAGCGGCACCGCGGCGGACGACGCGUACUUGGGGGCAUGGAAGCAUGGCGCGGAAGCCCCGACCGCCGGGGACCGCACGAGACCCCACACGCCUAGCGAACCUCAGGCAGCCGCCCUCGCCGCGACGCCGCAGUCAACGCCUCUGUCCGCCCCUGUUACAGAUCCUCUGCGAAACAGUGCCUUGUUUUGGUUGGAGUUCAGCCAUCUUCUUCGCAUCGCCGGGCGCGGCCCUUAUCUCCUUUCCGACUCCCUCCGUGCCGCCGUCACUAACGACGCCAGGAAGAGCGACCCAGAGGAGCGUGCGCGGCGUCGGCAGCGGCGCGAUCGUCGCGUCGCUAAGCGUCUGCGGCUCGCAAGCGUAGACGUGCCUGACGACUUCCGCGAGGCUUGCUGGGCGAAGGAGGGCAUCGACGACAAUGCCGAGGUAGCGGAGCGCUACUUGCGCUUCCUCGAUGCAAACGCCGGCAAGCGACGGCAGCGAAGGCGAAAGGAUGCGGGCUGAGAGCGCCGCCGAGCGCGGCGUUGUGUUACACAGUCUUCGAUGCACCGGUGCGCCUGCGUUUGCCAGUAGCGGUGACUCGCUCUGGCCGUGCCGUUUCGGUCUCCGGGGUGUUCUGUAGCGGGGUUCUUCCUUGGGUUCUCCCCGUGCCGUAAACGGCACCUAUCCCUGUCCUGCUUUAGCGGACUGCAUGCUCCCUGCUCUAUCACGCGCCCGACACACGGGCGCCGGGGCGUGCGCGUGUGCACGCUUAUCCUUUCCGUGAUCUGCUAUGAAAACAGAAACCGCCCAUAGAAAACGAAGAGAUUUGUCUUUUAUGUGUGCGCGGAUAGCUUCACGUCGUCGACGGUGUGCGUCCCUGGGCCUCUCUCGCAUGGUGCGUCGUCAGCCAUGCAGGAACGAAGCGGGAACGAGGCGGGGGUUUUGAGGAGGCGCUGCGCCUUUGUGUGCCG
rnacentral:misc_RNA from 1 species